rnacentral:rRNA from 1 species
UACGAACUGUGCAAACGUUAUUCGGAAUCACUGGGCUUAAAGGGUGCGUAGGCGGGUUUGUAGGUCAGAUGUGAAAGCCCACGGCUCAACCGUGGAAUUGCGUUUGAAACCCCAAACCUUGAGGGGAUCAGAGGAGAGCGGAACUGAUGGUGGAGCGGUGAAAUGCGUUGAUAUCAUCAGGAACACCGGUGGCGAAAGCG